rnacentral:lncRNA from 1 species
AAUAAAUUGCUAAAUUCUAUAAUAAUUUCUGUUAUAUCAGCUCAUCAUCUUUUCUCUUUUUCUUUUGCUGUCCCCCAACUAUUCCUCUUUCUGGUCAGUGUGUGCCCUGAUUUCUUUCCGAAGAAUGACCUCUCUCCAGUCUGCAGGGACUGUGAAUAAGGGUCUCUGAACUUCCUUAGCCUAUAUAUAUUUUUCCUUUUUUUUGAGGGAGUACUCUGAAUCUAGAACUGAGUGUUACAAAGAUGUAAAAGACAGUUGGAGUUCAUUCCUGUGUAGUACCCUAAAGAGACUGUCAAGGUGUCCUGCAGCCUCCAUGCCCAAAGCUGGAUGGUUACUGACUGAAUGCUAAGCUGACUCCAAGCUUGGGCUCAAAGUCUCUUUGCCCUUUUGAGUUCUUUAAGACUGGUCCAGUAAAUUCUCUUUCUAAUUUAACCAGAAUGGGUUUCUGAUACUUAAAACCAUGGAAGCCUAACAAACAGAGACAGAAUUUUUGUGGGGAGUUCCAGAACUCCGGUAAUCACCAGACUCCCAGUGUCCUAGUGAAUGAACUAUGGAGAGGAUGGAGGGAUACUUUCAGGAUUCUGGUGUCACACAUUCUACAUGAAAAGUGGUUGUAUAUUGCACUCCACUUUGCAAAUGAAAUAAAACACUGGAAGAAGACAUACAUAAGAGAAAAAGCAUUGCUCUCAGCUUUUACGCCGUUUCCUAGUUUAUUUGGGACUCUGUCCUCUACCCAGACAUCGGUCAUUUGAGAUCCGUGCCAGAGAGCAAAGGACCCCCCAGACAGAAGGUAUGACAUGGCACAUGAUGGAAAUAACAGGGCCUGUUUGACCAGAUGGAAGAUGCCCACCAAACAUCCCCAGUGGACCUGAGCAAGUAAUAACUUUCACUGUAAUUCACUAAGACUUGAGAGUUUUUGCGUUACCUCAUCUAUUGCAGAUAGUUUUCCAGUUUAUAUUCUCUUAAAUAAAAGCUAAAACAUAUUUCUUGGAUUGUUUUUU